rnacentral:lncRNA from 1 species
UGAUAUGAGUGAUGCUUAUGAAUGUUUUGCUAUGCAUGAAGGGAUCCGUGCUUUUGAUAUGUGAACUAUGUUGGUUGUAACACUUAGUAUCACAUACUUUGUGUCAAAGUACGCAUGUUGAAGCUCUGAGUUGGAGUAUAAGGGUAGGUUAGCGUGGACCAAUUGUUCCAGUGUUAGGAAUGCAAAAGACUCAGAAGAAGUUGUCUGAAUUCUCUCUUCUUUAAAUAUUUGCCGAAUGGCUUGUGUGACAAAAGAUCUCAAGCGGUUGAGAGUCAAAACAUUUGUAAUAUGUAUGCCUUCUUAUAAUAGCAUUUCCUUUAGUACCUAGUCCUCCACUUUGAAAGAGUGAUGCUUAGCCCCAUAGUCAUAAUAGUCGAAGGUACGUUCACCCCUGGUUGUCUUGAUACGAACUUUUAUCCCUCUUGUUGUAAUGGGCUUGCUGAAAGUAAAAAUCCUUCCUCUUACUAAGAGACAGAUACGUUUGGUGACUUAGCGAGUAGCUAAAUGAGGCAGGAGAUAAUGCAAUAGGUGUUUGAAUGGCCAAGAUCUCCUCACUUGGUAGAACCUGACUUCCACUUCCCAUUUGUUGAUAAGGGUUAACCAUAUGGGGGUUCCCUUGGUAUGUCAUUGCUUCAGCGGAGGCGUGGUCGUAAGCAUGUGCCAUCACCUCAGAGUAAGUUUUCCAAGUGUUGGCAUUGAUUAUGUACUUGAAGAAACAAUCACGUAGGCCUGCCGUGAAGGCUUUGAGGGUGGUCUUGUCAUCUGCCUCAGCACAGUGAGAAUACUUAUGGCUAAAGUGACCAUCAUACUUUCGUAGUGACUCAUCCGUCUUUUGACGAAUAGUGUACAAGUCAUCUGUAGAAUGCAAGCGAUCAAUCUAGAAGAUAUGUUGAGAGACAAACAGUUUCCUUAGUUCCUCAAAUGAGUGUACUGUCUCAGGUGGAAGACGACAAUACCAGUUUAGAGCUCCGCUAGAGAGGGUGGAGGGGAAGAGAAUACAUCGCUCUUCGUCGGUGUUCAUCCGAUAUGCCAUGGUGGACUUAAAGAGGUUAAGGUGUUCAAUUAGGUCAUCCCUUUCAGUAUAGAGUUGUAAACCAAGCUUUUAUUUUGUCUUCGCUUGAAGGGGGUGUUAAGGAUCCUCCUUGUGAGAGGGCCAGACCUGGGUUGGUUCUAGUCAGGUAUCUCGGCCUGACGUUCGGCCUUCAACGUGUUUACUUAUUCAAGGAGCUGUAGGAUAAGGGGGUCCUCAGUGGAGUCAUGUACCACUGAAAUUUUCUUUCGUAAAUCUCCAUUGCCUCUUGGAAGUAGGAAAGUUUGAGCAAGGGCGUGUGGUUUUUUCUUGGACUCGCCGUACUGACUUCUAGGGCGAGUAUGUCGGAAUACCUCAGAGUCCCCUGUACCUUCCUGUUCAUCUGGGACAUGUUGUUCCUUCCCUAGAUUGGCAACUGGCCUGGGUCGUGGGAGGGGACCAAGUCUUUCAGAAACCCUUGGGUCAUUGAUCUUCAAGCAUAUGUGGAGGGGAUUCUCUCGACGUCGCUUUAGGAAGUCUUGGCAGUCACGAUAAACGGUUUUCGAUCCUUCCAACCCUUCUGCAAUGAGGUGUCUUCCUCCACUUCUCCUGCUUCAGGUCGAAGCAUCUGGGUUGAGAGAAGUCUCAAGUUGAUCAAUGUUUUGAUGAUUAGCUCGCUCCUUAUCAGGGAUACCCAUGUUGAAGGGAGGUCCGUGUUGGGGGGUACCCAGAUGAUGGUUGAUGUCCACAGGGGUAAUGAGCUCGCGUGUUUGAGUAUGCAUAGUUUCGUGG